rnacentral:tRNA from 1 species
GGAAGUAGCUGAGGGGUAGAGCGCAUGCUUAGCAUGCAUGAGGUCCUGGAUUCAAACUUCAGUGCCUCCA